rnacentral:rRNA from 1 species
UACGUAGGGUGCAAGCGUUGUCCGGAAUUAUUGGGCGUAAAGAGCUCGUAGGCGGCCUGUCGCGUCGGCUGUCGAAAACCCGAGGCUCAACCUCGGCCUGCAGUCGAUACGGGCAGGCUAGAGUUCGGUAGGGGAGACUGGAAAUUCCUGGUGUAGCGGUGAAAUGCGUAGAUAUCAGGAGGAACACCUGCGGUGUAGACGGCUUACUGGACCAUGACUGACGCUGAGGCACGAAAGCGUGGGGAGCAAACAGG